UGUGUACUCAGAUAGCAUUGAUGCAAAAAGUGUUCAAGCCAAUAAUUGACUCAAUUUUACUGGGUAAAGCAUCUAUUAAUCAUCAAGUAAACAUUGAGGAAGAUUAACACAUUGAGGCGAAUGUGGAAGCAAAGACUGAAGAAAAUACAUCCAAAGAUACUUUUACUCGAAGAAAAUUAAAAGUCUGCCUACACCAACCAAAACACUUGAAAAUAAGUGUCUCAAUUAAAGGACAUUGUCAUCUCUUGAUUAGUCAUUGCUUUUGCUGAACUGCUACUUUUAUGAAGGAAAACAAGAUGAUACAACGAUGAGAUGUCCUACUGAGAGGAAGUGAAAGAGCUCAAGGUCUGAUGCCAGGCAAAUAACCUCUUCCUCAGUGUCAAUAAGACAAAGGAGGUGGUUAUCAAAUUCAGGAAAACCAGCAGCAGUCAUACCCAUCUUCACAGCGGUAGCACAGCAGUAGAAACAGUGAGCAGUUUCAGACUCCUGGGAGUGCACAUCUCACACGAUUUCCAGAACACAUCCUGCGCAGGCAAGAAAGCUCACUGGCACCCCUACUUUCUGAGGAAGCUGAAGAGAGCAAUACUCACAACCUUCUACAAAUGCACAGUGGUGAGCACCCUAAACCGCUGUAUCACUGUAUGUUAUGGAAAUUGCACUGCAGUGCAUUGGAAGACUCCGUAAUGAGUAGUGAAAAUUGCCCAAUGCAUCACCAUCACCAGCACCAGCCUACCAACGAUCAAGGAUAUUUAUACCGAAAGGUGCCAGAUAAAGGCCAGCAAUAUCGUGAAGGAUCCCACCCACCCUGCUCAUGGGCUGUUUGUCCCAGUCCCAUAAGGAAAAAGGCUAUGCAACAUCCAUACCAGGACCACUAGACUCAAAAAGAGUUAUUUCCCCAAGGCUGAUCAACACCUCUACCCUGUUACCCACCGCACCAAACCCCACCACCACUACAUACAUAUUACCGAGCAUCACUUUCUAUACGUACAAUCAGUCUAUGUAUAUAACAGUUACUUCCAUAUUGUGCUUAAUAGAACUACUUUUAUAUUUAUAUUUAUUGUACUGUUUUUUAAUUUCUGUUCUGUAUGGCUACUGUGUUUUUUUAAUGCUGCAUCAGAUCCAGAGUAAUAAUCAUUUUGUUCUCCUUUACAUUUGUGUCUUCUCUUCUUCGGCUGUCCAUCGACUUCAAUGUUGACUGAGGCCUGGGCAAGGUUGUAUGGAAGACCAGCAGUUACCCAUGCUGCAAGUCUCCCCUCUCCACGCCACCGAUGCUGUCCAAGGGAAGGGCGCUAGGCCGAUGCAGCUUGGCACCAGUAUCAUCACAGAGCAAUGUGUGGUUAAAUGCCUUCCUCAAGGACACACAUGCUGCCUCAGCUGAGGCUCAAACUAGCGACCUUCAGAUCACCAGACCAACACCUUAGCCACUUGACCAUGCGCCAACACUCGUGUAAUGUAAUAUGACAAUAAACUAUCUUGAAUCAGGGUCACAGAUGGCUGAAAGUAUGCUCCCAAGCAUGGAUCAUACUUGUAGUCUUCUGAUUUGUCAGAUGGCUUUUUCAUAGUUUCUAAAUUUAUCUGACGGUAUCAUUUGAAUGCAGAUUAAAGCUUAAAAGCUGCUAUAUUUACUUAAAAACAUAAAACUGAUAUUAAUUAUUUCAAACCAAAAAUAAUACAUUGAAAUAAAGUAACUAGUCAAAAUUAUUACCUAAACUUCCCCUUUAAAUUAAUGUCAGUAACCUCAUUCAAAUACACGUAGCUCUGCAUUUGAACUCCAGUGUGUUCCUAUCUCCCACACAACGCAUCUAUCUGGUAGUUCUUUAGUAACUCAAUGGCUAAUGAUUAGCACAUUACUGCCCAAGGAAAAGUACCUUGAUCUGCAUCAAACAUUCCAGUACACACAACUGAAUGUAUUCCUUUCUAAUCAGCAGAACAUUUUUGUGACCCAAAGAAUAAAAGCCAUACUAAUUAAGUGUAACUAAACCCAGAAAUUCAAUUUUUAUCUAUAUAAUUACCUUUCGAUUGCAUUCUUGUUUAAGAAAUUCCUCACUCUUUUCUGCCAUCAGUGCCUGCUUAAAGCAGGCGAGUAAUUUUAUCCAUGAAAAUUACACUCCACAAAACCAUGGGAACAGAGCAAGAAGCACUUACAGAGAAAAAUUCCAAAACAAAGCAGAUUGUGGGAGACAGAUAUCUGAACCAAGGAUUUCAACAGAAGCAGUAACAAAUCAAAGAAUGUCAACAGCCUAGUUAUCUUCAGUGCUCUUUUCUUAAUCUAUGCACAGGCUUUCCAUUUGUUUAAGCAAGAAUUUUGUUUGAUUGUAAAUCCUAAAAAUCUAUGACUUCUUCCAAGCUUUGGCUAAUGCAAAACAAAGGCACGUCUAAAUUUUCCUAACAAGAUUGUUAACUCUUGCCAGCAACAAAUCCAGAUGAAAAUGGUGUUACUAUAUUUAGCAGAUUUUCUGGAGUUUGAUUUGCUGAUGAAGACAAUUUUAAUAGUUUGGAUAAUAAAUGCUACCACAUCAAGACAAAGGCAAAAUAAGUAACUAUAUUUAAGAAGUUAAGUAAUUAUAAAAUGACAGAGUAGGUGACUCAGAAAAUAAAAUUUCCAAUCCCUCUUUGUAAGUGACAUUUUGAGCACUAACUUGUGUAUUGAACUCAAAUGGUUAAUAUGAAAUCCAACCAUUAAAUGAGAAAACUGUUAUGCCAACAUUAAACUUAAACAAACACUCCUUUUUAUAUUACCUUGAUAUCGUAAUGUUCUUUCCUUCCCUGUAACCAUUUAUUGUGUUUUUUGAUUGAUUUAUUUGAUAAUUAUCCCAGAUGAUCUCAGACUGAUACACAAACAAACUCCUGUCCAGAGUAAACACAGGGAAAACAAACAAUCACUUGUUUGAGUCAAAUAUUAAUUAACUCUUAAAUAAUAUAGCGCCAGCGAAGAAUUAACACUUCCAGCAAACAAUUCCAAACUAACACUUGAACAGGGAUCUGGAUUAUGUUACAUUUAAUCAAAAGUUUACAUUGACAAUUUUCCCAUCAUGUGAUGCCACAGUCUUUUAUGUACAUUGAGUUUUGGGGAGGUACAAGUAUUUAUUUGGAUUGAAUGACAAUUUAAUGCUGCUGCAUUUAGUGUUCCAACUUAAAAAAGGAUCUGGAGAAUGAAAUCAGAAGAUUUUCAUAGUGCUUGAUUAGAGGAUUCAGAAUGUCUUAUAUGUUUUUUAUAGAAUUCAUUAGAAAUUCAGCUAUGUAAUGUAAGGAUCCUAUGUUAACUAAGGACCUUAUGCAAUGUACAAUAGUUUAAGCAUAUUAAAAAAGUCAUUGCCGUGCAGGCUGGCAAAAUAUAUCCCGGUACCCCAUGCAUAUGGCAUAUGUUUCUGCUCAUUUUAAUGAAGAAGGCCUGGGAUUUACUAUAUUCAUGAACACAUUGUGCACAUUGUGUGCAUAGGAAAUCUGAUCACUCACAAAACUGGCUCAGAUUACUGCAUUCCACCACUUCCAUGAAAGUUUUCAAAUGCCUCAUCCAGUGACUUCCUCACAUGUAAAAAAAUAUGGUGGCCAGACACAUGAAUAUUACAUUUCUAAUAUUAAAAUAAACAGAUGACGAGAUCAGUGUUUUUACAUAACUUAACAUUCCCAACUCCAAUACAAAGAAAUCCCUAUAUGUGUUUGAGUAGGUAUGCAGAGAGGUUGGGUGAAAGCAGUUUGUCAUGAAAAGUUAUACAGGAUGAGUGACAGUAAAUUGGAGCUCAUUUCGUACACCACCAUGUUUUCUGUUCUGUUGAUUUCAAUGUAAAAUUUUAUUGGUGAGGUUCAGUUUAGCUUGUUUUGCACAUGCCAGCGAGGUAAAUUUUGCUC